UAUUAUCCCUGUCCCCGCUCGUCCCCGACCGAAACCCUACCCAGACUGCACGCAAGCGACGGCGGCGAUCGAGCGAGCGGAGCUGCGGCGAGAACCGCAGGAGGGGCGGGAGAGGCGGAGAACCUUGCCGGCGAACACAAGGAUGGAUCCCGCCUAGCCGCUCCACAUCAGAUCGCAACCGUUCUUGGUAUCUGACCGGCGACGCCACCUCCGGCCGGUCUUGUACUCCAGUCCGCAUCCUCUCAGGGAGCAGGUCAGCAAGCGUGGGUUUGGAGUCGGCGCCACCGUCUGGAGCAAGGGUUGGGCUUGGGCUGGGCGACGGGAGCACGCACCUGGUUCGAGACAGGAACAGUCUGGUAUUCUCUCCGACUAAUUCAUUCAGUGGAGAGCUCCCACCUUCUUGGGAUCGUGUAGCAACACCAAAAUUCGGUUUCAGUUUCCAAAAGCCUUCGUAGCCGCUGCUCCGGUCUACGUCUACUGUCGCACAUGUCGCUGCAAUUUCUACCAGUGAUGGCACCUGUGAUGUGUGCUCGCGUCUGAUGUUGGUCAAAAGACUGUUUGUUGUUGACUGGUGUAACCUGUUAUGAUAUUUUGUAGUGUCAUGGUUGCUCAGAAGUUGCAAGGUUCACAUGUUAUGUUGUCUGUGAUGAGAAUUGUGACAACAUGAGUUCCUUUUCCACUGUAUCCUGGAUUUUGGACUUUCAGUCUCACUGUCGUAUUGGACCUGAUACACAUGGAUAGACAUAGUGACAUAAAGGUUCUUUAGUUCAGAUUUUAA